CAAAUGCCAAGUCCUGGCAAACCCGCUUUACUGGCAUGAUAUGGCGCUGAGCAAUGCAGCAUCUGCUACUAUAGGAGUAAUCACCCAAGACACCUUGGUGAGUGGAAAUCCUUCCUGGAAAUUAACAUACAGAGCAACAUUGGAGAACUGUUUCUUCAUUAAUGCAUUUAUUUUGAGAACUUAUUGAGAAGAUUCAAUAUGGGAGACUGUAAAUCUAACAAGAUGUCAAUUGAAGCAAACCUCAGUGAAGAUUUUAGUGGAGACAUAGUUAAAAAUAAACUGCACAGAGAAGUGUCUGAUGUGUGCAGUGAUGGCUACAAGAUCAGAAAGUGCAUCAGUGGAGAAGACAGAAGAGCUACAACAUGAUAAAUAUACCAGACUUUCAAAAAUACUGUAUGCUGGGUAACCAAGGAGGAAGAUAUGUGUUUCACUAUCUACAACAAAAGCAGAAUAUGCUGCUUUUGCGAUAGCUUCAAGAGAAGUUUUGUUGCUGAUGGGUCCUCAUCAAGAAUUUAAAAUAUUUGUGAAGACUGAGUUUAUGAAAAGAAUCGCUCACAUGUGUGUGUGUGUGUGUGUGUAUGUAGAAGUGGGAGUGUUGUUGGCUGACUCAUGUGGAUAUUAAAUAGCACUUUAUAUGUCCAGUGUAUAAUGCUUAUGAUCAGUGAUGAACAUAUCUUUUUAUCUGUGUGAUAUCUUCAUAAAUAAAUAUUAUUACUUGUUAGAUUAACUUUGGUUUCUGUGUGGAGUAUCUAAAGCACAAGUCCUAGUUAUUACAAUAACAUGGCAUUAAAUAUCUGGAAGAAUUGUAAAGAAUGGAGGCUUUUAUCUAUCAAGAGGAAAAUUACUUUUUCACAAUAUGAUGAAGUUAUAUUUAAUUUCCUCUUUUUUUUAUUGCCCUUAUAAUCAUAAGCAAACUUAAGCAUUCCUCGGAAGACUAUCACU